rnacentral:rRNA from 1 species
GACGAACGCUGGCGGCGUGCUUAACACAUGCAAGUCGAACGGAAAGGCCCUGCUUUUGUGGGGUGCUCGAGUGGCGAACGGGUGAGUAACACGUGAGUAACCUGCCCUUGACUUUGGGAUAACUUCAGGGAACUGGGGCUAAUACCGGAUAGGAGCUCCUGCUGCAUGGUGGGGGUUGGAAAGUUUCGGCGGUUGGGGAUGGACUCGCGGCUUAUCAGCUUGUUGGUGGGGUAGUGGCUUACCAAGGCUUUGACGGGUAGCCGGCCUGGGAGGGUGACCGGCCACAUUGGGACUGUGAUCCGGCCCAGACUCCUACGGGGGGCAGCAGUGGGGAAUAUUGCACAAUGGGCGGAAGCCUGAUGCAGCAACGCCGCGUGCGGGAUGACGGCCUUCGGGUUGUAAACCGCUUUCGCCUGUGACGAAGCGUGAGUGACGGUAAUGGGUAAAGAAGCACCGGCUAACUACGUG